rnacentral:rRNA from 1 species
UGCAGAGGGGGCAAGCGUUGUUCGGAAUUACUGGGCGUAAAGGGCGCGUAGGCGGCCUUCUAAGUCGAACGUGAAAUCCCCGGGCUCAACCCGGGAACUGCGUCCGAUACUGGAAGGCUUGAAUCCGGGAGAGGGAUGCGGAAUUCCAGGUGUAGCGGUGAAAUGCGUAGAUAUCUGGAGGAACACCGGUGGCGAAGGCGGCUUCCUGGACCGGCAUUGACGCUGAGGCGCGAAAGCCAGGGGAGCAAACGGG